CACCCACCACCGUCCUUCUAAUGAUGAUAGGACCUAGACCUACUCCAGAGGCACUACAUUCAGCCUUCUGAACAAUUUCAUCAGCAUCAUGCCCGAUCCUUAUUUCUUAAAACAGUAAGAAGGAACCCUGACAACCAGACUCUGGAACACAGCCCAGGUCCCAACAGUGCUUGCUGCAACAGGUUCCCAUGAUUUGCGACACGUGCUCGGGAUGGAUGACGGCGGGGUUUGCAAGCACUGCUGUAAAGGAUGCUGAAGUGAGGAGCGCAUGGGCAGAGUGAGCAGAAGAAACAUGCGAACCGAUAAGUUGGGGCCAGACAGAGGUGAGGAAGACACAGCUAGGAAACCACAGCAGCACCGGUAGCGGCGGCGGCGGCGGCGGCGGCGGCAGACUAACCUGUUGGAGGCUAUUUACUGUUAAGAGGGUUUGGCAGAACUUGCAGGGCUAGAGGAGGGAUUUCAGAGGUGGAACCAGGAACGCUGGAGGUCACAGUGACCUGCUCGGUGAAGACAGUCUGAGGCUGUUUCUGCACAGCCCAGCAACCGAGAAGUCAGCCCUGCUCAACAACUUUGAAACACUCACCCAGCCGACCUGAUGUGUUUGGGUGCUCACUGCCGGUGACUAGUCCGCGGGCCUCUCACUGUUGUGGCCUCUCCCGACGCGGAGCACAGGCUCUGGACGCGCAGGCUCAGCAGCCAUGGCUCACGGGCCCAGGCGCUCCGCAGCAUGUAGGAUCUUCCCGGACCGGGGCACGAACCCAUGUCCCCUGCAUCGGCAAGCGGACUCUCAACCACUGCGCCACCAGGGAAGCCCAAAUAGUUCUUAAUAAAAUGUUAAUUGAUAAGUUGAAACUAGUUUUCUUUCAGAUUCACAGAGAUUUUAAAAGUGUUAAGGAGAUAAUUAUAUUGGCAGAUUAAGUUGGAUAUUUCUCAAAUAUAAAAUGUUUAAAAAAGCACUUCCAUAUUUUAUAUAAACCAAUGCAUAAUUUGGAUUAUCUUUUCCUGGUAGAACAUAUUGAUAAGCAUAGAAGGAAUUUUUAGUAUAAAAAUGGAAACAAAUGUUUUCAUUAACAGUGAAAUUAAAUUUAUUAAAUAAAAUUCAGAAAUAUACGGGAAAAUAGAAAAAAGGCUUCUUAUCACAUAAAUACAACUGCUGUUGACACUUU